rnacentral:rRNA from 1 species
AGUGAACGCUGGCGGUAGGCCUAACACAUGCAAGUCGAACGGCAGCACAGUAAGAGCUUGCUCUUACGGGUGGCGAGUGGCGGACGGGUGUGGAAUAUAUCGGAAUCUACUUUUUCGUGGGGGAUAACGUAGGGAAACUUACGCUAAUACCGCAUACGACCUACGGGUGAAAGCAGGGGAUCUUCGGACCUUGCGCGAUUGAAUGAGCCGAUGUCGGAUUAGCUAGUUGGCGGGGUAAAGGCCCACCAAGGCGACGAUCCGUAGCUGGUCUGAGAGGAUGAUCAGCCACACUGGAACUGAGACACGGUCCAGACUCCUACGGGAGGCAGCAGUGGGGAAUAUUGGACAAUGGGCGCAAGCCUGAUCCAGCCAUACCGCGUGGGUGAAGAAGGCCUUCGGGUUGUAAAGCCCUUUUGUUGGGAAAGAAAAGCAGCAGGUUAAUACCCCGCUGUUCCGACGGUACCCAAAGAAUAAGCACCGGCUAACUUCGUG